rnacentral:lncRNA from 1 species
CACCUCUCCCUUCACUCUCUUUCUCCUGUUUGGCCGUGUACCAAGUUCCUGCCUGUCUUCUGUCUUCACCCGUGACUUGCCUCAAGUAGUUGGCUCCUUUCCCACCGGCUACUUUGUAACUGCGAAUAUGACAACAUGACGGUGAUUCACAGAUGCCAAAAUAUGACGAGCAGAGCAAAUCUGUGUUCCAGAUAUGAUAAGAUAAAACCCCAUCGUAAGUGGAGAAGCACCUGCAUUGUGAUGUUAGCUCCAUGCACGCACUUCAUCCGUGCUUUGCCUGAUGCGUCUCUUCCAUUUGGCCGUUUUUGAGUGAUGAAGAGGUUAAAAAGUAAU